CUUCCCUCACUGCGGGAGCCUGACACCCCUUCUGUGAGCAGAGGCAGGUGUCCCAGUCAGCAGGGCUUCUGUUUUCCUGAGCUGGACAUGUCUGCCUGCUGUGGGCAAGCAUGUCAAAUCACACCUACCAUAUUGGCUUCCUGUCCCCAGAACAUCCGAUUUUUGCAGCUAAUGUGUGGGGGGUGUCUCCUCCUGCCAAUCCCCACCCCCAGCAGCAUCAGGUCUGUGCUGUUCGGGGUUUUGUUAAGCCGUUUAGUAUUAAUUGAUUUUUUUUUCCAUUUUUUCUUUCUUUCCCUGGGCGGGUCAAUAGCUGGAUGCUCAAGAGCAGAGGAUCUAUCAACUGCAGACCAAGCAGAGGGAGAGGCAGGCAGACCUGGAGCAGAAAUGCAGCCAGAGCAGCAGCUCAGCCAGGACCUGGGGGCCAGCUACCAGCUACGGAAAGGAGCUUGGAGCAGGAGUCUGGUUGGUGCAUCCAUGCUGGACUAUAGAGGCCACAGAUCCCACGGUGGUUCCAGGAACACUCUGCCAGCGUCAGCCACCUGCAGCUCAUGGGCUCAGGAAGCAAAAAUGGGGUCUUGCAUUCCAUCAAUGUGAGUGGAUAUUUUUCUCCCAUUAAAAUGUUUCAUUUAUUUUUGAAUGCAUAUGAGCUUUGGGGGUGUACCACACCCUGUGUGAAGCAGUCUGACACAGCACAAGAUUCAAAAAAAUAUCUGGCUUUUGCUUUUUUGUUAUUACCUGCAAAUUUAUGGGGUGCUGUCGGUUCUUACAUUGAAGGGCUAAUGAGAAAUCAUACUGCAGACAACCUCUAUUUGUGAAACUUGAUACUAUAGUCUUCUUCAGUCUAUUUUUUCUAGCCCAAAAAGACUAUCCAUUUUUAACUCACAUGGAGAAUACUCUGUAUUUGAUCAUCCUUGUUGGUCUUCUCUGAAACACUUCCAAAUCUUUUUCUUGAGGGAGGCAGACAGAGCUGCAUAUAGAAAUCACAGGGCAGCUUUCACUAUGAAUCUGUUCAUUGGCAGAACUAUGAUCUGCUCUCUAUUAUUUUCCUGAUAAUUGUUAACAGUCAGUUUGCCUUUUGGGCUGCUCCUGGGCACCAAACAAAUGUUUCCACAGAUCCAUCUCUCCAUCUUCAUCUGAUUUCAUUCUAGCACAGCCCCAAGCCUAAUUCCUGAGGAGGAACAGAGCUACAGCAGCUGGGACUGCAGUGAGAUCUUGUGAGAAAGACGGUGCAAAUGCCCCAGAUCUUCAGCAAGAUUAGGACCAUCUGGCUGAGUCAUACCUUGGAGACUGGGGACAGCUGCUAAACAUCUGGAAAAAAGAAGACAUUAUAUAAGGUCAGCAGACCUGGCCUCUUCCAGACACAUUUACCCUCGGGUGUUUGCUCACCUGAGGGGCUCAGUAAUGCUGUGGAAUGCCAAUGUAGCCAGAUGAAUCAGUGCUGGCUGAACUCCUAUCCAAGAGCACAAAUAGCAUCAUGUUCUUGUGAUCCUCCUUUGCAUUUCCUUCCUGCAGGUUCCCGGGGUUAGCAGGAAGGGAUUGGGCUGCCUGACCUCCAGUACCCACGGUCAUGAAAAUUUCCCCUUACUCUGAAACC
ensembl:lncRNA